AACGAACGCUGGCGGCAGGCUUAACACAUGCAAGUCGAACGCGUGCAGCAAUGCACGAGUGGCGCACGGGUGAGUAACGCGUGGAUAUCUGCCUUUUGGUUCGGAAUAACCCCGGGAAACUGGGGCUAAUACCGGAUGGUUCCUACGGGAUAAAGAUUUAUCGCCAAAAGAUGAGUCCGCGUCCGAUUAGCUAGUUGGUGAGGUAAUGGCUCACCAAGGCGACGAUCGGUAGCUGGUCUGAGAGGACGAUCAGCCACACUGGGACUGAAACACGGCCCAGACUCCUACGGGAGGCAGCAGUGGGGAAUAUUGGACAAUGGGGGCAACCCUGAUCCAGCCAUGCCGCGUGAGUGAUGAAGGCCUUCGGGUUGUAAAGCUCUUUUGGCGGGGACGAUGAUGACGGUACCCGCAGAAUAAGCCCCGGCUAACUUCGUGCCAGCCGCCGCCGUAA
rnacentral:rRNA from 1 species